rnacentral:lncRNA from 1 species
GUUUCUAACAUCGAGAUGCUCCGCAGCGGGUGACGAGAGGUUUGCUUCUAAAUAGACAGGUGACCAGCACUGACCGAAGCUUCUCAGAGUGAAACUGAGCAUCUUUCCAGGUGCCUGCACCGCCAAAGCCGAGACCAUCUCUCCAUUUCCACACACAAUGGCACCUUCAGAAAGCAGGGAGAGGAUGUACCUCCCUGCCAAAAUCAAUCCUGGUCAACUCCAAGUGGUGUUUGGUUAUAUGAUGUUCACUUUAUUUAAUGACAAGUAAAAGUGUAAGGAAAUUGAGCUAUGUUGUCACAUUGUGGAAAACAUCUCAAGGCAGCAAGAAACUGGAUAAUCCUGAAUAUUUUUACCUGAAGGACUAAGUAAAGAUCAUAGCAUGGUGGUUUCUAAGACACAAACUCUUCAUAAUCUAACAUCUCUGAAUUUAGGAUGCAUGUUUUCUUUUAAUUUUUAUUGAGAUGUUAAUUCACACACUAUAAAACUCACCCUUUUAAGUGUAUAAUUCAGUGGGUUUUGGUCCAUUCACAUAUUCACAUAGUUGUAUAACCAUCACCACUGUUUAGAACAUUUUCAUCUUCCCCCAGAUAAGCCUCAUGUCUACUGGUAAUCACUCCUUAUUCCACUUUCCUUAACUCCUGGCAACCAUGAAUCUACUCUGUGUCUCUGUGGAUUUGCCUAUUUCUUACAUACAAUAUGUUACAUAUAAUAUGUUGGCUUUUUCAACUUAACAUGUUUUCAAGAUUCAUCUAUGUUGUAUGUAUCAAUAUCGUACUUCAUUUUUAUUGUCAAAUAAUAUUUCAUUGUAUGGAUAUACCAUGUUUUGUCUGUCCAUUCUUCAGCUGAUGGACAUUUAUUUCCACUUUUCGGCUAUUACCAAUAAUGCUGCUAUGAACGUUCAUGUACCUAUUUUUGUGUGAACAUGUUUUCAAUUCUGUGUAUAUACCUAGCAAUGGAAUUGCUGGAGUACAUGGUAACUGUACAUACAUUUUACCUCUUGAGGAAUGCCAAACUAUUUUUUCCAAAGCAGCUGCAUCAUUUUACAAUCCCACCAACAAUUUAUGAGUGUAUUUCAACAUCCAUGCCAACAUUCAUUAUUGUCUUUUUGACUUUAGCCAUCCUAGUGGGUAUAACGUGGUAUUGUGUGGUUUUAAUUUGCACUUCCCUGAUGGCUAAUUGUCGAGCCAUGUUUUUAUGUGCUUACUGGCCAUUUAAUACAUUCUUUGGAAAAUGUUCUGAAAAGUUAUAAACUUUUGAUCGUCUUUUAAAGAGGUUGCAUUUUGAUGAGUUGUAAGAGCCUGUUACAUAUUUUGGACCCAAGUUCCUUAUCAAAUAUAUAAUCCCUAAAUAUUUUCUAUUUUGUGAGUUGUCUUUUUACUCUCUUGACAGCGUCCUUCCAUGCACAAAACUUUAAUUUUGAUGAAACCCAAUGUUAUAUAUUUUUUCUAUUUUUUUCUUGAGACGGAGUUUCGCUCGUCGCCCAUGCUGGAGUGCAUGGUGCGGUCUCGGCUCACUGCAACCUCUGCCUCCAAGGUUCAAGCGAUUCUCCAGCCUCAGCUUCCCAAGCAGCUGGAAUUACAGGCGCCCAUCACCACGCCCAAUUUUUGUAUUUUUAGCAGAGACGGGGUUUCACCAUGCUGGCCAGGCUGGUCUUGAACUCCUGACCUCAAGUGAUCUGCCUGCUUCGGCCUCCCAAAGUGCUGGGAUUACAAGCGUGAGCCAUUGUGCCUGGCCUUUUUUCUUUUGUUGCUUGUGUUUUUACGUUUGGUAUGUCAAAAAUCACUGACAAAUCUAAGGUUACAAAGGUUUACAUUAUGUUUUCAAAGGUUUACAUUAUGUUUUCUUCUAAGAGUUCUAUAGUUGUAGCUCUUUGACCCAUUUUGAUUUAAUGUUUGUAUGCUGUGUGAGGUGUAUUCCUUGCCCAAUGGAAUGUAACUUACAAUUAUAACCAGUUGUGAUUUUCUAUAACACAUCUCACAAUUCGUGGCAUCUUAGAUUUGACAAAGUAUGGAACACUUAUCCCCUGAAAUAAAAGCCUAUAUAAAUGUGCAUUUUUUUUCUGGAAAUGAAAA